rnacentral:rRNA from 2 species
GUUGUAUAGUCAAGUAAUUAAGUGCAUGUGGUGGAUGCCUUGGCAGUCAGAGGCGAUGAAAGACGUGAUAGCCUGCGAAAAGCUCCGGGGAGGCGGCAAAUAUCCUUUGAUCCGGAGAUGUCUGAAUGGGGGAACCCACCUACUUUAAGGUAGGUAUUGCAACAUGAAUACAUAGUGUUGCAAGGCGAACGAGGGGAAGUGAAACAUCUCAGUACCCUUAGGAAAAGAAAUCAAUUGAGAUUCCCUCAGUAGCGGCGAGCGAACGGGGAUCAGCCCAUUAAGUUAUGUGUGUUUUAGUGGAACGCUCUGGGAAGUGCGAACGUAGAGGGUGAUAUUCCCGUACACGAAAGGGCACACAUAAUGAUGACGAGUAGGGCGAGGCACGUGAAACCUUGUCUGAAUAUGGGGGGGCCAUCCUCCAAGGCUAAAUACUCCUGACUGACCGAUAGUGAACCAGUACCGUGAGGGAAAGGCGAAAAGAACCCCUGUGAGGGGAGUGAAAUAGAUCCUGAAACCGCAUGCAUACAAGCAGUGGGAGCACCUUCGUGGUGUGACUGCGUACCUUUUGUAUAAUGGGUCAGCGACUUAUAUUCAGUAGCGAGGUUAACCGUAUAGGGGAGCCGUAGAGAAAUCGAGUCUUAAUAGGGCGUUUAGUUGCUGGGUAUAGACCCGAAACCAGGCGAUCUAUCCAUGAGCAGGUUGAAGGUUGGGUAACACUAACUGGAGGACCGAACCCACUGUCGUUGAAAAGCCAGGGGAUGACUUGUGGAUAGGGGUGAAAGGCUAAUCAAGCCUGGUGAUAGCUGGUUCUCCCCGAAAGCUAUUUAGGUAGCGCCUCGGACGAAUACCAUAGGGGGUAGAGCACUGUUUCGGCUAGGGGGUCAUCCCGACUUACCAAACCGAUGCAAACUCCGAAUACCUAUGAGUACUAUCCGGGAGACAGACUGCGGGUGCUAACGUCCGUAGUCAAGAGGAAAACAAUCCAGACCGCCAGCUAAGGCCCCAAAAUCAUAGUUAAGUGGGAAACGAUGUGGGAAGGCAUAGACAGCUAGGAGGUUGGCUUAGAAGCAGCCACCCUUUAAAGAAAGCGUAAUAGCUCACUAGUCGAGUCGGCCUGCGCGGAAGAUGUAACGGGGCUAAAACUAUGUGCCGAAGCUGCGGAUGUAUACUUUGUAUACGUGGUAGGGGAGCGUUCUGUAAGCCGAUGAAGGUGUGUUGAGAAGCAUGCUGGAGGUAUCAGAAGUGCGAAUGCUGACGUGAGUAACGACAAAACGGGUGAAAAACCCGUUCGCCGAAAGACCAAGGGUUCCAGUCCAACGUUAAUCGGGGCUGGGUGAGUCGACCCCUAAGGCGAGGCCGAAAGGCGUAGUCGAUGGGAAAAUGGUUAAUAUUCCAUUACUUCUGUGUAAUGCGAUGAGAGGACGGAGAAGGCUAAAUCAGCCUGGCGUUGGUUGUCCAGGUGAAAGGAUGUAGGCAUGUAUCUUAGGCAAAUCCGGGGUACUCUAUGCUGAGAUCUGAUAGCAAGCUGUACUUGUACAGCGAAGUGGUUGAUGCCAUGCUUCCAGGAAAAGUCUCUAAGCUUCAGUUACACAGGAAUCGUACCCGAAACCGACACAGGUGGUCAGGUCGAGUAGACCAAGGCGCUUGAGAGAACUCUGCUGAAGGAACUAGGCAAAAUGGUACCGUAACUUCGGGAGAAGGUACGCUGUUGUUGGUGAUGGAACUCGCUUCCUGAGCUGACGACAGCCGCAGAAACCAGGCCGCUGCAACUGUUUAUUAAAAACAUAGCACUCUGCAAACACGAAAGUGGACGUAUAGGGUGUGAUGCCUGCCCGGUGCUGGAAGGUUAAUUGAUGGGGUUAGCGUAAGCGAAGCUCUUGAUCGAAGCCCCAGUAAACGGCGGCCGUAACUAUAACGGUCCUAAGGUAGCGAAAUUCCUUGUCGGGUAAGUUCCGACCUGCACGAAUGGCAUAAUGAUGGCGGCGCUGUCUCCAGCAGAGGCUCAGUGAAAUCGAAAUCGCUGUGAAGAUGCAGUGUACCCGCGGCUAGACGGAAAGACCCCGUGAACCUUUACUGCAGCUUGACACUGAACUUUGACCUUACUUGUGUAGGAUAGGUGGGAGGCUUUGAAGCUGGAACGCUAGUUCCAGUGGAGCCGUCCUUGAAAUACCACCCUGGUAAUGUUGAGGUUCUAACUCUGUCCCGUGAUCCGGGACGAGGACCGUGUCUGGUGGGUAGUUUGACUGGGGCGGUCUCCUCCUAAAGAGUAACGGAGGAGUACGAAGGUGCGCUCAGCGUGGUCGGAAAUCACGCGUAGAGUAUAAAGGCAAAAGCGCGCUUAACUGCGAGACCCACAAGUCGAGCAGGUACGAAAGUAGGUCUUAGUGAUCCGGUGGUUCUGUAUGGAAGGGCCAUCGCUCAACGGAUAAAAGGUACUCUGGGGAUAACAGGCUGAUACCGCCCAAGAGUUCAUAUCGACGGCGGUGUUUGGCACCUCGAUGUCGGCUCAUCUCAUCCUGGGGCUGAAGCAGGUCCCAAGGGUAUGGCUGUUCGCCAUUUAAAGAGGUACGCGAGCUGGGUUUAGAACGUCGUGAGACAGUUCGGUCCCUAUCUACCGUGGGCGCUGGAAAUUUGAGAGGAUCUGCUCCUAGUACGAGAGGACCAGAGUGGACGAACCUCUGGUGUACCGGUUGUGACGCCAGUCGCAUCGCCGGGUAGCUAUGUUCGGAAGGGAUAACCGCUGAAAGCAUCUAAGCGGGAAGCCUACCUCAAGAUAAGAUUUCCCUAGGACUUUAUGUCCUCUAAAGAGCCGUUCGAGACUAGGACGUUGAUAGGUUGGAUGUGGAAGCAUAGUGAUAUGUGAAGCUGACCAAUACUAAUUGCUCGUGAGGCUUGACUAUACAACACCCAAGCAGUUG